rnacentral:rRNA from 1 species
CCUGGCUCAGAUUGAACGCUGGCGGCAGGCCUAACACAUGCAAGUCGAGCGGUAGAGAGAAGCUUGCUUCUCUUGAGAGCGGCGGACGGGUGAGUAAUGCCUAGGAAUCUGCCUGGUAGUGGGGGAUAACGUUCGGAAACGGACGCUAAUACCGCAUACGUCCUACGGGAGAAAGCAGGGGACCUUCGGGCCUUGCGCUAUCAGAUGAGCCUAGGUCGGAUUAGCUAGUUGGUGGGGUAAUGGCUCACCAAGGCGACGAUCCGUAACUGGUCUGAGAGGAUGAUCAGUCACACUGGAACUGAGACACGGUCCAGACUCCUACGGGAGGCAGCAGUGGGGAAUAUUGGACAAUGGGCGAAAGCCUGAUCCAGCCAUGCCGCGUGUGUGAAGAAGGUCUUCGGAUUGUAAAGCACUUUAAGUUGGGAGGAAGGGUUGUAGAUUAAUACUCUGCAAUUUUGACGUUACCGACAGAAUAAGCACCGGCUAACUCUGUGCCAGCAG